UGCUAAGCCUGGGAACCUCCCUCCCCUCCUCUGGCCUUGAGGGGAACAGCUCCCACGAUUGUGGCGGCCUGGCCUCUUCUUUGCCUCUUCAGACAGC
rnacentral:lncRNA from 1 species